GACGUAGGGCGCGAGCGUUGUCCGGAUUUAUUGGGCGUAAAGAGCUCGUAGGCGGCUUGUCGCGUCGACCGUGAAAACUUGGGGCUCAACCCCCAAGCCUGCGGUCGAUACGGGCAGGCUCGAGUUCGGUAGGGGAGACUGAAAUUCCUGGUGUAGCGGUGAAAUGCGCAGAUAUCAGGAGGAACACCGAUGGCGAAGGCAGGUCUCUGGGCCGAUACUGACGCUGAGGAGCGAAAGCGUGGGGAGCGAACAGG
rnacentral:rRNA from 1 species